CUACUCUGGUAAUAAAGGGCUAAGAGCUCUUCAUUCAAGUCGACAUCAGAUGAAUUGACUCCUCCUUUAGCUCCUCUAAAUUGUCCAAGGACGAGCUCAACCUGGAAGCCAAAAGGUUUUCAUAUGAAAUUCUACUUAGAGCUUGUUCCAGUUGGGAGGUCACCUCAUGAUAGUUAUUCAUGAUCUGCUCCCUUUCUAAGACCUGUAAGAGGAGCAAAAUAUACAGUUUAAGAAAUGCAAAAUUUAAACAGGAGAAAUUCAUGAAAGAAUCAUGCGUUGACACUUAUUAGACGGCCCUUCUUUGAUCCUUCCUCCAGAGAAACGGAAUGACUUAUUUAGCAGCAGAUAAGUGUAUAUCCAAGCCCUGUUGUAGUGCAAUUAAACGAGUCACAUUUGGUUGACACUUUGCACGAGUAAGACUUCAUAAAAUUUACAGAGACGAGACCAUUCAACAAUGAAUAUUUCAACUACCAACCGGCAACCCUUCUUUCCCUAAUGGCAAUUCCACCAUAAGCUAGACACAUCUCCAGGGUUCAGACAAUGAUUGGAAAGCUGCUUAAACCUUCAUGAACUUUACAAUAAGCAGGAUGUUCUCGUGCAGUGGAGGCAUAAGGCAUUCAAAGAAGCAAUGCUACUGAAAUCCCAAGAAGAGCCAAUAUGUUCCUUCCUCUUUGGUCUUUCAAUGCCAACCGAGAACCAUAAAAUCAACCUCGGCCAUUAAGAGUAGCGGCAAAUUUCUACUAUCAUCACAAGCUGCUAAGCAAAUAGAUGUAGCCCAUGCUUUCCAGGGUCCCUCACAUGGAGAUGUCCAAACAUAUUAAUAACAAGUAUGUAAUGCACUCCUCUUGGCAUUUGAUGCUACUCAUAAUAACUGAGACCGAUGCUCUGAUUUUGCAUCCUCUGUCCUCAGACAAUACGACACUGCUUCCGUCUGAGUACUUUUUUGAUAAAGGCGUAUUAAAUACCACCUGUUCUACCUCUAGGGGCUCCCUCUUCAAGCUAAGUUGCAAUGCUCUGCUCCUAUUGCAGACUCUCAGCUCAAAUUUUCACUGAUAGCUUCUCGUUUAUCAGAAGUCGAUCCAAAAAGUAAAAACUCCACUGAAAUUUAACGUCAAACCAGUGUGAAUGGGGAUGCAACAGGAUAAAAAAAUAUUACACCAAAAAAUUGACUAUCCAAAGAUCACAGAGAAAUUGCGAGCACACACCGCGUAAAAUUUGCUGCCUUCUCUCCCGAACUUCAGCAGCUCCUUCGCGGAACUCAAAGCUUCCAUGAGCGCGGCAAGAGCUCCAAUCGUCCCUUCGGGCAUUGGCUCCUUGCUGUCCUUAAUCUCUUCGAACAAUGGAGUCAACAGCUUCAGUCUCGUGGCCAGAUUGCGGUACCGCUUCUCGACCGUGCCCCUGUAACACGAGAUGGAAGCUAUCUCAUCGACGGCAUCAAUCAUGCUCUGAGCCAACGCUCCUCUGUGCUCCUCCUCCAUGACUCACUCUCUCAGUUGGGUGGAGAAGAGAAAACGCGCUGCCCGCGAGAGUCCUGGAGGAAUGAACCAAUUGACCUUAUUCAGAGCACGAGAGAUUUCCGUGCGCUAAGGUUGGAGAGAUGGGAGGGCAUCGCUGUCGCAGGCCAUGCGGGACACCAUUUGAAAGAGAGAAGCUCUUUGGGUCUUUUUCAGGGUCAAAAGCUCUUUCGGUCUAUAGGAAUAGAAGAUGAAGCCGAAGAUGAAGACCAAGACGAAGACUCCUGUUAGCAUGAACGCUCCGUCGUUCAUUGGCGCCACCAGCUUUUCAAGUCAAAAGCUGGAAACUAUAAGCCGACAGGUUUUCUUGUUUUCACCGAUUCUUUAAUUUAUUCGAAUAAUGCUGACUAGCCAAUUUACUCGUGCGCCACAUGGAAGUAAUAAUUUAUUUUUCAUCUUA